rnacentral:rRNA from 1 species
AGCAGCCGCGGUAAUUCCAGCUCCAAUAGCGUAUAUUAAAGUUGUUGCAGUUAAAAAGCUCGUAGUUGAAUUUCGGGGUCAAUACGUCGGUCGUGCCUUCGGUACGUACUGGUGUUAUUGAUCUCUCCCUUCUGAUGAAUCAUGAUGUCAUUAAUUUGGUGUUAUGAGGAGUUAGGACUGUUACUUUGAAAAAAUUAGAGUGUUUAAAGCAGGCAUUAGCUUGAAUACAUUAGCAUGGAAUAAUGAAAUAGGACGUUCGAUCCUAUUUUGUUGGUUUCUAGGAUCAACGUAAUGAUUAAUAGGGAUAGUUGGGGGCAUUAGUAUUCAAUUGUCAGAGGUGAAAUUCUUGGAUUUAUUGAAGACUAAACUACUGCGAAAGCAUUUGCCAAGGAUGUUUUCAUUAAUCAAGAACGAAAGUUAGGGGAUCGAAGACGAUCAGAUACCGUCGUA